rnacentral:rRNA from 1 species
CCUACGGGAGGCAGCAGUGAGGAAUAUUGGUCAAUGGACGAGAGUCUGAACCAGCCAAGUAGCGUGAAGGAUGACUGCCCUAUGGGUUGUAAACUUCUUUUAUAUGGGAAUAAAACAGGGUAUGCAUACCCUCUUGUAUGUACCAUAUGAAUAAGGAUCGGCUAACUCCGUGCCAGCAGCCGCGGUAAUACGGAGGGUCCGAGCGUUGUCCGGAUUUAUUGGGUUUAAAGGGAGCGUAGGUGGAUUGUUAAGUCAGUUGUGAAAGUUUGCGGCUCAACCGUAAAAUUGCAGUUGAAACUGGCAGUCUUGAGUACAGUAGAGGUGGGCGGAAUUCGUGGUGUAGCGGUGAAAUGCUUAGAUAUCACGAAGAACUCAGAUUGCGAAGGCAGCUCACUGGACUGCAACUGACACUGAUGCUCGAAAGUGUGGGUAGCAAACAGGAUUAGAUACCCGGGUAGUC